rnacentral:rRNA from 1 species
CCUACGGGGGGCUGCAGUGAGGAAUAUUGGUCAAUGGGCGGGAGCCUGAACCAGCCAAGCCGCGUGAGGGAAGAAGGUACAGCGUAUCGUAAACCUCUUUUGCCAGGGAACAAAGGCGGGGACUAGUCCCCGGAUGAGGGUACCUGAAGAAAAAGCAUCGGCUAACUCCGUGCCAGCAGCCGCGGUAAUACGGAGGAUGCGAGCGUUAUCCGGAUUUAUUGGGUUUAAAGGGUGCGUAGGCGGGAUGCCAAGUCAGCGGUAAACAUGCGGUGCUCAACGCCGUCGAGCCGUUGAAACUGGCGUUCUAGAGUGGGAGAGAAGUAUGCGGAAUGCGUGGUGUAGCGGUGAAAUGCAUAGAUAUCACGCAGAACUCCGAUUGCGAAGGCAGCAUACCGGCGCCCUACUGACGCUGAGGCACGAAAGCGUGGGUAUCGAACAGGAUUAGAUACCCGAGUAGUC